CAGGUGUUGGGCGGAGCCUCAGGAUUUGCACUUCUAACAUGUCUCCAAGUGAUACACAUGCUGCUGGUCUCAAGGGGACCCUUCAAGAGCCACUGAAUAAAAUAGUAAUUCAUCAGAAGAAUCACAUUGCUUUGGGCAGAAAAAGAACUGAGCAGUGGACAUCUUCCAAGCACCACAAGAAGGACACAAGAGAAGUCUCCACCACAAGCAAUUAAGGUAUG